AUUGAACGCUGGCGGCAGGCCUAACACAUGCAAGUCGAACGAGUGGCGGACGGGUGAGUAAUGUCUGGGCAACUGCCCGAUGGAGGGGGAUAACUACUGGAAACGGUAGCUAAUACCGCAUACCAUCGGAUGUGCCCAGAUGGGCUUAGCUAGUAGUUGGAGUAACGGCUCACCUAGGCGACGAUCCCUAGCUGGUCUUAGAGGAGGACCAGCCACAAUGGAACUGAGGCACGGUCCAGAGUCAUACGGGAGGCAGCAGUGGGGAAUAUUGCACAAUGGGCGCAAGCCUGAUAAAGCAAUGCCGCGUGUAUGAAGAAGGCCUUCGGGUUGUAAAGUACUUUCAGCGAGGAGGCGUUACUCGCAGAAGAAGCACCGGCUAACACCGUGCCAGCCGCCGCGGUAAUUC
rnacentral:rRNA from 1 species